AGUGAACGCUGGCGGUAGGCCUAACACAUGCAAGUCGAACGGCAGCACAGGAGAGCUUGCCCUCUGGGUGGCGAGUGGCGGACGGGUGAGGAAUACAUCGGAAUCUACUCUGUCGUGGGGGAUAACGUAGGGAAACUUACGCUAAUACCGCAUACGACCUACGGGUGAAAGCAGGGGAUCUUCGGACCUUGCGCGAUUGAAUGAGCCGAUGUCGGAUUAGCUAGUUGGCGGGGUAAAGGCCCACCAAGGCGACGAUCCGUAGCGGGUCUGAGAGGAUGACCAGCCACACUGGAACUGAGACACGGUCCAGACUCCUACGGGAGGCAGCAGUGGGGAAUAUUGGACAAUGGGCGCAAGCCUGAUCCAGCCAUACCGCGUGGGUGAAGAAGGCCUUCGGGUUGUAAAGCCCUUUUGUUGGGAAAGAAAUCCAGCUGGCUAAUACCCGGUUGGGAUGACGGUACCCAAAGAAUAAGCACCGGCUAACUUCGUGCCAGCAGCCGCCGUAA
rnacentral:rRNA from 1 species